UGCAAGUCGAGCGGUAGCACAGAGAGCUUGCUCUCGGGUGACGAGCGGCGGACGGGUGAGUAAUGUCUGGGAAACUGCCUGAUGGAGGGGGAUAACUACUGGAAACGGUAGCUAAUACCGCAUAACGUCGCAAGACCAAAGUGGGGGACCUUCGGGCCUCAUGCCAUCAGAUGUGCCCAGAUGGGAUUAGCUAGUAGGUGGGGUAACGGCUCACCUAGGCGACGAUCCCUAGCUGGUCUGAGAGGAUGACCAGCCACACUGGAACUGAGACACGGUCCAGACUCCUACGGGAGGCAGCAGUGGGGAAUAUUGCACAAUGGGCGCAAGCCUGAUGCAGCCAUGCCGCGUGUGUGAAGAAGGCCUUCGGGUUGUAAAGCACUUUCAGCGGGGAGGAAGGCGGUGAGGUUAAUAACCUCAUCGAUUGACGUUACCCGCAGAAGAAGCACCGGCUAACUCCGUGCCAGCAGCCGCGGUAAUACGGAGGGUGCAAGCGUUAAUCGGAAUUACUGGGCGUAAAGCGCACGCAGGCGGUCUGUCAAGUCGGAUGUGAAAUCCCCGGGCUCAACCUGGGAACUGCAUUCGAAACUGGCAGGCUAGAGUCUUGUAGAGGGGGGUAGAAUUCCAGGUGUAGCGGUGAAAUGCGUAGAGAUCUGGAGGAAUACCGGUGGCGAAGGCGGCCCCCUGGACAAAGACUGACGCUCAGGUGCGAAAGCGUGGGGAGCAAACAGGAUUAGAUACCCUGGUAGUCCACGCUGUAAACGAUGUCGAUUUGGAGGUUGUGCCCUUGAGGCGUGGCUUCCGGAGCUAACGCGUUAAAUCGACCGCCUGGGGAGUACGGCCGCAAGGUUAAAACUCAAAUGAAUUGACGGGGGCCCGCACAAGCGGUGGAGCAUGUGGUUUAAUUCGAUGCAACGCGAAGAACCUUACCUGGUCUUGACAUCCACAGAACUUACCAGAGAUGGAUUGGUGCCUUCGGGAACUGUGAGACAGGUGCUGCAUGGCUGUCGUCAGCUCGUGUUGUGAAAUGUUGGGUUAAGUCCCGCAACGAGCGCAACCCUUAUCCUUUGUUGCCAGCGGUUAGGCCGGGAACUCAAAGGAGACUGCCAGUGAUAAACUGGAGGAAGGUGGGGAUGACGUCAAGUCAUCAUGGCCCUUACGACCAGGGCUACACACGUGCUACAAUGGCAUAUACAAAGAGAAGCGACCUCGCGAGAGCAAGCGGACCUCAUAAAGUAUGUCGUAGUCCGGAUUGGAGUCUGCAACUCGACUCCAUGAAGUCGGAAUCGCUAGUAAUCGUAGAUCAGAAUGCUACGGUGAAUACGUUCCCGGGCCUUGUACACACCGCCCGUCACACCAUGGGAGUGGGUUGCAAAAGAAGUAGGUAGCUUA
rnacentral:rRNA from 1 species